rnacentral:rRNA from 1 species
GACGAACGCUGGCGGCGUGCCUAACACAUGCAAGUCGCGCGAGAAAGACCCCUUCCGGGGGUGAGUACAGCGGCGGACGGGUGAGUAACACGUGAGCGAUCUACCCGGUGGCCGGGGGACAACCCAGGGAAACCUGGGCUAAUACCGCAUACAGCGGAGGGAGUAGGUGCCCUUCGUGAAAGCUGGCCUCUCCUUGGAAGCCAGCGCCGCCGGAGGAGCUCGCGGCCUAUCAGCUAGUUGGUGGGGUAACGGCCUACCAAGGCUAUGACGGGUAGCUGACGUGAGAGCGUGAGCAGCCACACUGGGACUGAGACACGGCCCAGACUCCUACGGGAGGCAGCAGUGGGGAAUAUUGCGCAAUGGGCGAAAGCCUGACGCAGCGACGCCGCGUGGGGGAGGAAGGCCUUAGGGUUGUAAACCCCUGUCAGGUGGGACGAACCCCGGGUCGGUGAAUAGCCGGCCCGACUGACGGUACCACCAGAGGAAGCUCCGGCUAACUCCGUG